UUUUAUUUUGACUAUGAAAUCAAUGAGUUUGACUACGAAAUAACCUUAUUAUAUAUAAAUUUUUGUAGAAAAUUAUCAGUUUACUAGUUAUUUGUUUAAGAAAUUUCUUUAAAAUCUCUCUAAAAAAUUCAUUGAAUAUUUGGUUUGUCUUGUAACCGGUGGGAGAUGACAAGUUAUUGAAACAAUUCUAGAAUACGUAUGUCCAUAGGGAGUUAUUUAUGAAUUCGUUUUGAUAUUUUCUGAGUAUGUUAGUUAUAGUGAUGAAGCAUAAUUGGUUUGUUAGACAAAUAUAGAAUUAGUCUUCGUUUCCAUCAUCCUGAAUUGAAUUAAUAUAUAGCUAUAGUUGAAGACAUUGAUGUUAGAAUGUUGAUAAAUGUAAUCAAAUGUAGCGGAGGAAGGGCAGUGAAAGUGAUUGUGGUGGUUGAUGAAGGAGAUGAGGUUAAUGAGGCUGGUCAUAAUGGAAAUGAGGCGGUUGGUAAUUUAUGCAGCUAUAGAGGGAGCAACGAUCCGAUAGGUACUUUCAAUACUCCUAGUGUACCUCAAUUUCACAGUGUUGCUGAAAAUGCUAAUGUUAGUUAUUCACCUAUUCACUAUGUGGAUCCUGAGAAUUACAAGUAUGUUGGUGAUGAUGAUGUUGGUACAUAUCUUAAUGACGUGGGCGAUCGCUAUGUUGAUGUUCCCGAAUAAGAAGUUAAAGUUAUGAAUAGGUGUGAGUAGAUAAAAGUAAAAAGAAAAAAAAAAUAUGCGUCAAAAAGAUGAAAAAAUGCAUGUUUACGGGGAUUAUGUUGAUGUUGCUGAUGUAGGUUUAGAUAUAAUCGGCUUACAAAGCAAUUCAGAUGGAGAUGAGUUGGGUGAUGAAGUUAAACCUAAGUUUCCCGAUAACCUUUUGUUACGGUAUGCCCCCUCUAACAGCAUGCCCAGUUGAUAUUAAUGAAGAUAUCCCAACACAGAUGGUAGACAUCAGUCUUCAAAAGAUUGAAUGUGAGAGUAUAUUUAAGAACAAAGAACUUUUAAAGCGGUGUAUUGGUAAAAAUUGUCUUCAAGAAGGUUUUCAGACGAGGACAAGUAGAUCCACCAAAUCAAGGCAUGACGUGCGAAACAAUAUGCAUUGUUGUUGUUAAGGGGUACGAAAGACGAUUCUUUUUACCAAACUUUCGGCUUAUUUCCACAAUUUGGUCAAACAUAAUCCGGGUACGGUGACACAUAUUAAAACAGAUGGUGAUGAUCGCUUUGAGGUUUUGUACGUCGCACUUGGUUGUUCGGUUAGUAUUUUAAUAUUUUAUUAUUUUUUUCAUUUUUAUUUUGGUGUAUUUGAAUAGAUAUACAAUGUAUUGUAGGUACGUGCUUUUGUCAAUUUUUGUAAACCGACCCUUGUAGUAGAUGGAGCCCACCUAAAGGGCGAGUUCAAAGGUACAAUGUUACUUGUAGUUACUAAGGACGGACAAAACCAAAUAUUACCAGUUGCAUAUGGUAUAUGCAAAAAUGAGUGUACAGAUUCUUGGACAUGGUUUUUUCAAAAACUAUGUGAUUGCAUAGGCAAUAUGCAGGAGUUUACAAUUAUAUCUGAUAGAUCUCCAUCUAUAGCAACAUCCGUUGCCAACAUUUUUCCUCACGCUCAUCACGGCAUAUGUGGUGUCCAUUUGUAUUUUAACAUAGUAUCUAUAUUCGAGAAGAGUAACACAAUUAAAGGAAUUUUUUGGGAGGCUUGUAGGGCGUACACAGUUGAUGCUUUUGACGCCGUCAUGGAAGUUAUGAAAAAGACAAAAGAACCAGUAUGGAAGUACUUAAAAAGUAUAAAUCCAGAAACUUAGUCUAGGGCACAUUUUAGAGGGAACCGAUACAAUCUUAUGUCGUCCAACAGUGCGGAGUCUAUAAAUGCAUUAUCUAGACACGCACGUAAGGUGCCGACACUUAUGUUGAUCGAUUUUUUUCGUGCAACAAUGCAACAAUGGUGGUUUCAAAGAUAUAACUUUGCAGCGGAAGCAACAACAGCACUCGUCCCAUGGGCCGAUGAUAUUGUAAAAGAAAACAAUAAAACUUUUAGUAAUUGGGAUGUUCGGAUGAUCUCAAAUACAAAAUACGAGGUCAAAAAGGGGGCACAAAACGUGAUUGUUGAUUUCCAACAUAUGACAUGUACAUGUAGGCAUCGGCAACUUGAUUGGAUACCUUGUGGUCAUGUCAUAAGAUGUUUAACAGUGAACAAUUACAAAAGACUGCUCGAGGUAUGCAUUAAAUGCUUACUUUACCGAAACACUGAGGAAAACGUAUGAGGAAUCAAUAAACCCUUUGCCAAAGCCAUCCGAAUGGGAUAUCCCCUAUAAUUUGAUGAUUGUUAAGCCACCUAUAAUGGAUAAACUUCAGCCAGGCAGGCCAAGAAACACAAACCGCAUUCCAUCCCAAGGCGAGGGUCCAAUAAGAAAAAAGUGUUCUACAUGUGGCCUACUAGGACACACGAGAAACAAUUGUACUGGAAGGGCGUCCGGUAGUGGAACACGUCGCACAACAAUUUAUACUGCAGAAAUGAAAUUUAAUAUUGGUGGUUCAGUGAGUUGCUCACAAACCUAUGACGCUGAUUUUGAUAUAAAACAACCUUGAA